rnacentral:rRNA from 2 species
UAUUGGUCAAUGGGCGGAAGCCUGAACCAGCCAUUCCGAACAGAGCAGUCAAGCCCGCCAGAGCCGAUGGUAUUGCCGUAACAGGUGGGAGAGUAGGUCGGUGCCUUUUU